rnacentral:rRNA from 1 species
AGGACGAACGCUGGCGGCGUGCUUAACACAUGCAAGUGGAGCGACGAACCAGGGCUUGCCCUGGGGCAGAGCCGCGAACGGGUGAGUAACACGUGGGUAACGUGCCCCGAUGACUGGGACAACCCGGGGAAACCCGGGCUAAUACCGGAUAUGCCCCCUCACGCGAGUGAGGUGUGUAAAGGAAGCUUCGGCCUCCGCAUCGGGAUCGGCCCGCGGCCCAUUAGCUUGUUGGUGAGGUAACGGCUCACCAAGGCUGCGAUGGGUAGCUGGUCUGAGAGGACGAUCAGCCACACUGGGACUGAGACACGGCCCAGACUCCUACGGGAGGCAGCAGUGGGGAAUCUUGCGCAAUGCGCGAAAAGCGUGACGCAGCAACGCCGCGUGGGGGAAGAAGGCCUGGUUGUAAACCCUUUACACGUUGGACGAAGUGUGGGCGGUGAAUAGCCGUUCUGUCAUGACGGUACCUUCACAAGAAGACCCGGCUAACUACGUAGCCAGCAGCCGCGGUAA